rnacentral:lncRNA from 12 species
AUAAAAUAAAAAAUCCUUUAUUUCACAUCUGCCACAUCCAACCACUGCUUCCGAGUGCCGAGCCUGUCGUGUGGAGCAGCGUGAGGCUCCAUGGGAUCAUUUGUUUUUGGGUUGCCACCAGGUCCUGCUGCCUCUGCGUGCCCUGGGGACGCCUCAGCAGGAGGAUGAGCUCCUGUCCGUGCUGGAUUCCUGCUGCCACCUCGCUCGGCACCUCGGUGCUCUGCGCUCUCCUCUUGCUGGCCUUUUACAUCAUGCUCAGCAGGAAAAUUGCCCAGCAUUCCUGUGGGAUGCAGGUGAGGAACAGCCCUGGGGUCCAUCCCAGCCCUCAGCCCACCCCAGCUCCAGCCUCGGCACCGGGAGGGGACACGGCACAAAAACCCGGGGCACAAAAACCUGGGGCACAAACCCCAGCAGCAGCCUAUGCAGGGAGCAGUGACACGUCUUCAGAAACCUCGGAGGAGUCGGACAGCCCUUCCUGCCCUCAGGGCCCUGGCUUGGAGGAAAACAUCCAUUACACAUCCCUGGUGUUCCCAGGGAAAGGCCACGAGCCGGGCUCUGCCCAGGACUACGAGAACGUGAAGACUGGCAUGGAUUACGUCAAUGUGGACCCAAAGAGGAAGAAAAUUCAUUUCUGGCCCUUCUCCAGCAGCACCAGGGCAUCCAAGGGUGUGGAGUACACCGAGGUGAAGCUGUGACACUGACGUGGGGCUGUGACACUGACGUGGGGCUGUCACACCAGGGUGAAGCUGUCACACCAGGGUGCUGCUGCUCAGAGGUGCCCAGAGCCCCCAGCAGCUGCACAGCUGGCACUGUCCCCUUCCCCUGGGCACUGCCUGGCACGGGCAGCACCACUUGUCCCCCCCCGACCCGCAGGCACAGUUUCCUUGGCUUGUCCUUAAAGGCAGCUCUGUUCCCCGGGGCUGCAGGGUGGGGCAGGUUCCUCCAGCCCGGCUGCGAUCAGCUCUCCCCUUCUGUGUCCCGGCUCUUCACCCUCGUUUACUGAAAGCAAAAGAAACAUUCCCCCCUCUCCUCUCACCGUGGGCACUUCAGGGAGUGAUCCCCAAAAUCCCCGCUGAGCUGGCUGGCAGCUCCUCUCAGUGGUGGGGCUUUGCUCAUCAGCCUCAUAAAAUCCUUGUAAAUGCAGAUUUUCCACUGGCUUUCCCCUCACCUUUUGCUUUCCCUGCUUUGUCCCCGCUCCAGGUGCUGGGGUCGGUCUCUCCCCACCUGGGCCCUGUCCCUGCUCCUCACUCUGCAUUUUGUCACUUCAGAAUUUUCCAGAAAUAAACUUCCAAAGUGCCUGGGAACGGGAAUGGUGCCCCAGUGGGAGCUGUGUAAGGGGAUGGAGCUGCUGCCUCCCAGCACAGCCCCCCUUCCUCCCCAAGUGUGUUUUAAACGGGCUCAGCAGCGCUGUGAUUUAAUGCAAGGUUGGAGACGAUUGAUUUGGGAUUGAUCAGUGGCAGGGAGAGCCAGGCACUCCUGGUUUCAUGACCUUGUGGUGCAGAUCUGCCCCAACUCGAAGGGCACGUGAAGGAAAACAUCCCAAAAACCCCAACAAUUCCUGGGCAAUGCUGGAAAAACCCAGGAGAGAUAUGAUUAUGAAGCUGGAGCUGAGGCCAAAACCAGUGAGUGGAAGCUCCUGAAAAAUCUGAUUCAAAUGCCUAGCAAGUAAA